AACGCAAAUUGCGCUCGAGGCUUCUGCCAAGAGCAUGUCUGCCUCAGCGUCGGGUUAAUACUCAAUCCCUCUCCCCUGGGGAGUGGACUGGAACUGGCUGUCUCGGUUGCCUCUGGCGGCCGGGUCGGCUGAAGUGCAGAGGUUAAUGCACGGACCCACUAAAUGGGCCUCUACUGGGUAGGCAAUUCGUUGCUAAAUGCUUUAGUAGAUGGUCUAGGGACCGAGCUGGUUAACCCGAAUCAGGAACAGUCGCUUGCGACUGAAACCCUCAUUUUCUCGACCUGAGCUCAGGCAAGAUUACCCGCUGAACUUAA
rnacentral:misc_RNA from 1 species